GUAGGUGGCAAGCGUUGUCCGGAAUUAUUGGGGCGUAAAGCGCGCGCAGGCGGUUCGUUUAAGUCUGAUGUGAAAAGCCCACGGGCUCAACCGUGGGAGGGUCAUUGGAAACUGGAGAACUUGAGUACAGAAGAGGAAAGCGGAAUUCCACGUGUAGCGGUGAAAUGCGUAGAGAUGUGGAGGAACACCAGUGGCGAAGGCGGCUCUCUGGUCUGUAACUGACGCUGAGGCGCGAAAGCGUGGGGAGCAAACAGGAUUAGAUACCCUGGUAGUCCACGCCGUAAACGAUGAGUGCUAAGUGUUAGGGGGUUUCCGCCCCUUAGUGCUGCAGCUAACGCAUUAAGCACUCCGCCUGGGGAGUACAGCCGCAAAGGCCG
rnacentral:rRNA from 1 species